rnacentral:rRNA from 1 species
AUUGAACGCUGGCGGCAUGCCUUACACAUGCAAGUCGAACGGUAACGCGGGGCAACCUGGCGACGAGUGGCGAACGGGUGAGUAAAGUAUCGGAACGUGCCCAGUAGUGGGGGAUAGCCCGGCGAAAGCCGGAUUAAUACCGCAUGAGACCUGAGGGUGAAAGCGGGGGAUCGCAAGACCUCGCGCUAUUGGAGCGGCCGAUAUCAGAUUAGGUAGUUGGUGGGGUAAAGGCCUACCAAGCCGACGAUCUGUAGCUGGUCUGAGAGGACGACCAGCCACACUGGGACUGAGACACGGCCCAGACUCCUACGGGAGGCAGCAGUGGGGAAUUUUGGACAAUGGGCGCAAGCCUGAUCCAGCCAUGCCGCGUGCGGGAAGAAGGCCUUCGGGUUGUAAACCGCUUUUGUCAGGGAAGAAAUCUUCUGGGUUAAUACCUCGGGAGGAUGACGGUACCUGAAGAAUAAGCACCGGCUAACUACGUGCCAGCCGCCGCGGUAAUAC